CUCCUGUUCUGUCAGCCCCAGUACUUGGAAAAUGUAAGGCCAAGACCUUAAAAGCCACAAAGUUAGGAUGCUGUGCCCUCAGGCUGCUAAUGUGUCACAUAUUUAUCACCGCCUUUGCUUCCAGCUCCUGUCUAAGUAACUGCCGACUGUCUCACUCUGCCGGAAUCCUCAAUGGUAGCCACUGAGUGGAUCCUCCAAGGUUACCAGAAAAGGAAGUUGUGCAUGUGGGGCAAGCAGUGACCAGACGUCUGCUCCUACGAUGUACAGUAGUUCCAGAUCUGUGGCCCUUCCCUCCUCCUGAUUUUCUUGCUUAGCUGCACUUCUUAUCCGAAUCCUAGUUAUCCCUCAUGGCUGGGCAGAUCUUUCCCACCCAGCUGUGGCAUUGGACCUCUUAGUAGCUCACUCCUGGAAACAUGCAUUGUAUAAGGUCCCAACACCUGACAGAUAACAAAGAUCAAAUCAAAUCGGAUCAGAUCAAAUGGAAUCCAGUGGUGUUUGUCGAGCUCUUUGAAUGGAGUGGUAUGCAGCAGCGCCUCCCAAAUGGUGCCCAGGGGAAAUCAGCAAGGAAGAGAUGAACAUCCAGAAUGACUCCCAUAAACAGGAGAGAAUGCCAGGCUGCUGCCUGGCCUAUUUCAAUGUGUGGCGUUUGGCAAUGGACUAUGACAGCUUCCCUCUUGCCGCUAACUCGGUGUCACAUGAGCACGCCGAAGGUGACUUGAGAUUUGGAGAAUUGAGGGUGCGUGAUUGAUUCUAACAAUGAGAAUGUCUUUCCUUCUCUGAAAGCUAAUGACUAUUUAAUUUUCAUUGGCAUGAAAAUGCAGUUGACCCUUGAGCAACAGGGUUUGCUCUGCAUGUUGCAGUACAGCACUGUAAAUGUAUUUGGGCCCAGGAUUUUCUUAACAUUUUCUGGCCUUUAACUUGUGUUAUUCCAAGAAUAUAGUAUAUGACCCAUAUAAUGUACAGAACGAGUUAAUGGUCUGUGUGAGCAGUGAGGCUUCUGGCCAACAGUAGGCUAUUUGUAGUUACGUUUUGGGAGAAGCCAAAAGUUAUAUGGGAAUUCUUGACUGUGUAUGGGGUCGGUCCCCUAGCUCCCACUUAGUUCAAAGGUCACUAUAUUUGUUUUCUCAUAAUCCUUGGAAAGUCCCAUAAUGGCUAAAAUGUUUCUUUGCCCUUUAAAAAUAGUUUGCAGGGUGUCAGGGUGGCUCAGUGGUUGAGUGUCUCUUUCGGCUCAGGUUGUGAUUCCGGGGUCCUGGAAUUGGGUCCCCAUUGGGCUCCCUGUGGGAUCCCCACGGGGAUCCUGCUUCUCCCUCUGCCUGUGUCUCUCCCUCUUUCUGUGUGUCUCUCAUGAUUAAAUAAAUAAAAUCUUAAAAAAAAAAGUUUGCA
rnacentral:lncRNA from 12 species